AUUUUUCCCUUUCUUUCUCCUGUGUUUAGAAUUGAAUCUUUUUUAGUGGGAAAGAGAAAAUACAGAAACUCCAUGAGAAAAAAAUAUUGUGUUUUGAUGAAUCUCAAUUAAUAAAUGCUGACUUAGCAUAGAUUACAGAUAUUACAUCUCUUAACAUAGAUUACAGGCUAGUACUUAUUUACAUAUUUAUUCAGUGGAGCCAGCCUUUCUCAACCUUUUGAACCUUGACGGCAACUUGGCCUUCAGGACUGCCUUUUCUAUUUUGCACUCUUAAAUGCUGGUGGCCACUGGCAUGUGCAAAUUUAUUUGCAGGCCACCAUCAUUGAGAAACAAAAUGAUAAGCAUUUAAUUGGUGCCCACUGUUAAGUUUGGCACAAUCUUAAUUCAUCAUCAAAUUUUCUUGCCUUCUCACAAUAGCUAAAUGCAGAUUGAAUUUCCAGAUUAAAUAACUGACAUCCUGAAUGGAGGGGAAGUUAAACCACGGGACUGGUGGUCAAAGACAGACACAGACAGCAUGAGAAUGACAUAUCAGGUCUAAAGCGGUGCUUAGAAUAGGAUUGGAGAGAAGAGUUUUGCUAGUAAAUAGAUCUGAAAAGAGAACAGAAGAGUGAAAGAAUUUCUAUGAGUUUGAGUGAUUAGUGGAGUGAGGAUAGAACUAAAUAUGAUGAUAUGAAGUAAGUAAACAUACUAUUUUAAUUUAUUACUUUUUGAAGUAUAGUUGAUUUACGAUGUGUUAGUUUCAGGUAUAUAGCAAAGUGAUUCAAACAUAUAUGUAUAUGUAUCUUCUUUUUCAGAUUCUUUCCCAUUAUAGAUUGUUGCAAGAUAUCGAAUAUAGUUCCUUGUGCUAAACAGUAGGACCUUGUUGUUUAUUUUAUAUAUAGUAGUGUAUAUCUCUUAAUCCUAAACUCCCAAUUUAUCCCACCCUAAGCUCUUUUUCCCUGGUAACAAACCACAAGUUUGUUUUCUAUGUCUGUGGUUAUAUUUCUGUCUUUUAAUUUCAUUUAUUCUUUUUUUUUAAAUAUUUCUCAUGUAAGUGAUAUUAUACAAUAUUUGUCCUUCUCUGACUGACUUCACUUAAUAUGAUAAUCUCUAGGUCCAUCUAUGUUGCUCAAAUGGUAUUAUCACAUUCUUCUUUACUGCUGAGUAAUAGCCCAUUGUAUAUAUGUACCAUAUCUUCUUAAUCCAUUCAUCUGUCUAUGGACAUUUAGGUUGCCUCCAUGUCUUGGCUAUUGUAAGUAAUGCUGCUGUGAUAAGCAUACUGUUUUAAAGUACUAUCUUUGAAGAGAGUUUCUUGUAACUGAAGACCUUUUCUCUGCUGCUGGAUAGGAUAUGUAAAUUAGUCAUUAGUUUGGCCAGGUAAAGGCUUGCUCUGUGUAAUAAAGGGAGGAAGCAGUGGAGGUUUCUAAGAGAAGGGAAGGACAUGGAAAUAACAAGGAGUCUGGGGAACAGGAAGAAAACAGUUGAGGCUGGACCCAACUCAGGGAGGGGCAGAGGAGGAAACAUCAGAAUGCCCAGAAGAAACCAGACAGGAGAAAACAGGUGUGUCUGAACGAAUUUUGUAGACUUCACUCUCAGAAAUGUGGUGCGAAGCCUUUUAUUUACUGUAUUUUAGUAAUUCUUCAUUGCUCUUAAAUGCUUUGGGAGUGUGUAGGUUACUUUUGCAGCCUUUGAAGAGGUGUUGAGGUUGGCAUUAAUGGUGAAAGCAAAACAAAAUAAAAACAAACAAACAAAGAAACCCCAAAAAAGAGUUUCUAAGCAGGAGGCAGCCUCUAAGAUUGAAAAGAUAGCAGUGGCACCGGUGACAAUGAUGACAAUGAUGAUUGUAGUGAUAAUUCUGUGCGCUAUCAUGUAUUGGAGGCCUACUGUGUUCCAGGUAUAUCAUAUACAUUUUCUUAUUUGAUUUUCAUGACAAUUCUGUGGCAUUGGAACUACUGGAAUCCUAUUCUAUCCCUGUCUUCACCCAGCCCUGUAAGAUGUUCUGAAUCCUUCACAGGGCAGCAGGAGAGAGAAAAUCCUCUUUCUUGAGCUCUGUGUUGCUUAUUUUUGGCAUCUCCUUCUAAGUAAUGUCAGUGGCACUGACCUGACAUUGGAACAUACAUUUAUGACCUAGCACUGACUAAACACUGUCAGAAAAAGUAAUUACACGUAAAGCUCCUUCCUAGCUGUAUAGCCUCAUCUUAACACUUUAAUAGAUGACUCAUUUUCUUCACCUUUGUAAUAGUCACAAACUUCUCUCCAGAUUCUUUUCCAGGUGGAGCUAAGUAGACUCUGGUACCAUCCCUAAUUAUGGCUUAUUUUAUUUUCACAUAGUGCCUAAUUAUAGUGCAAUUAUCAGACCUCCAGAGGCAUCAUGACAGGGAAUCUGAGUAUUGGACUGAACCAAGUACUUUAAUUUAAUUGGGUCUAGUCUGCCUUUGCUCUAGGCUACCCUUCCUCUGCAGAUAAAGGGAUGCAAACUAUCCCUUGGUUUUCCUGUUUUCUUUUUUUAUUUUGUCUCCCUCCCCUCACUCCUCAAGGACAGGCUUCCCUGCAAAGUUUCUUCUGAGUAAUCUUCUAUCCUCCCAAACCAUAGAUUCUCCUCUGAUCAAUACUUUACUGUGAUUCAAUGAUAUGAAGAAUUAAUAUCAUUCCCUAUUUUACAGAUGAGAUUUAGGGAGGUAAAAUAAGCCAUUCAAUGUCACACAGCUAGGAAGAUAAAGAGCUAGAAUUCCAAUCUGGGUCUUUCUGGCUCCCAAGAUCAACCUCUUUCUUUCCCUUUCUGGCUCUGGUCACUGGGUGCAAAGGAGUUAAGAAGAGCAGCCUAUACAUUUACAAAAAACUCUCUCCUUCUACUGUAGGGGCAUAGGCUGGACAAUUUGGGGGCAUGGGAUGGGCAGGCAUGAAGAUAAUUUGCAAUAUCUCACAUUUUCCUGAGUUUUUUGAGUUUAAACAUUAUUAAAGUUUAAAAAUAUAAAAUCACCAUCUAGUUUUCAGUUUGUUCUAGUCAAAGUUGCAGUUGAUAUUACAUUUUUUUGUAAUAAUGCUUACAUUAUUCAUUAUUUUCAGUGAGAAUUCACAUGCAACACAGUUUCCAUGCAUCUUUCCAAAAUUCAGGUACAAACUAUCCCCACCAAACUUUACUGCAGAGGGGAAAAAAAGAAAUGGUACUUAAGAAGAGGAAUAUGUAAAAUAUCUUCAGGACAGGAAAUACCUUCUAUUUUACUCUAAGAAUAAUUCCAAAAUAUCAAGUAUUAAAAAAACAGCAGUGACAAUAAAUCUUUACAAAUGUGUUUUUUUCCCACACUUACCCUUGUUGAGAAUAUGCUUUGCUCCAUUAUACUGUCUUAUCAUUGAGAGUAUAAAUGAUGUUAAAAUAUAUUUGUGUGCUUCUAAUCCAGGAACCACAUGAAGCUGUCUUUGCCAUAUACUACCUGCUUGUUUUCCUACCUAUCAGGUUACACUGGGAUUAUUUUUUCUUUAUGAUAGCUGGAUGAGAAUCUCAUUUUUAAAAAACUUUUUGUUAUGAAAAUGUUCAAACAGAUGCAAGUGUGGAGAAACCCCUGUAUAGGUGACCUCAGGUGUCCACUUUGCUUCAAGAGUUACUAAUUCAAGGCCAAUUCUAUUUCUUCUAUCUCUGUUGCUCCCUAGGUUUUUAAUUUUUUGAUGGGGUGUGGUGGGGGCGUAGUUAAAGGGGACUAUAGUAUUUUAAAGCAAACUGCAGAUGUUUCAUUGUGUGCAACCUGAGUCUCAUUUUAAGGUAUCUCUAAAUCAAUUCCAAUUUUUGCAAAUAGUUCCUGUAUAUAGGAGGCACUCAAAUUAUUUUUUCCCACCUCCCAUUCUAAGAGAUGAUUGAGAGACCUGCAGAAAGCUACAAUGAGAUGGUCUGGGCUUUUUUGUGUUGUUUCCCCUCUGCAGAUGACAGAAGUAGGUGGACCUAGGAGUGAUAAGUAUUAGUUGUGCUGGAUGUUCAUCUUAACACUGGUUUCUCCUUCACCAUCUUCCCCAAUUCCUAGUGGGGAUCUAUUUCCCAGUCAAGGGAGCAUGUGAUGAAAAUGGGCUGAAGUUACUUCUGUGAAACUCAUGAAUCAGGGGACAUGGUUCUGAGGAUCACUCUCAUGCUGAAUGUUGGCACUGUGUCCUAAAAGACUUGCCACUCUCCACCCACCGACAGAGAUCUGAGGAAGGAAAAUAUGAAAGGCACCAUCCAACUUUGUCUAGCAGCCCUGACUUUUGUGGCUCCACUUGUUCUCAUGGCUCUGGACUCAGGGCAGAGGAAUUUUAUACUCAGAGUCUCAGCAACCUGAAUUAGUGGCCCCUUCAAAUGGCCCUGCACCCAUAGAAAGAGUUGACAGAUGGAGUUGAGGCUUCAUAUAGCCAUAUCUGUUCAUGCAUUCCUUCCACUCAGUGUCUCACUAUCAAAAGAAGGUGCUUGGGAGAUUAGGGCCUGAACAGAAGGUAAAAUGCACAGCAGACAUUUGGAAUACAAGUCUUGAUUGAUUGAUACAGUUAUUUACUUUGUGAUUCUAUGCCCUGUUAAGCAUUUUGGGGAUAUGACAGCAAACAGAGAAAGUCUCAAUCUGCAUGGAGUUUAUAUUGUAAUGAGGGAGAUAGAUAAUAUAUAGGCAACAAAUAGAUAAUAAUAGUUGGGUUAAGGUAUAUGGAGAAAAUGAAGAUGGUGAUGUGAUAACAUCUAACUGGAGAAUUUAGAUUAGGGGAUAUGUCAUUCAGGAUUGGCAGGGUCGGUGCUACUGGAAAUGUGGUCUAGGAGCAUCAGUAUCAUCUACAAAUUUUUUAGAAAUCUUUGUUUCCAAAGAUCUACUAGAAACCUGAUCUAAAAAUAUAAGAUCUAUUGGUUUUUUAUCUCUGGAGAAGGAUCUCUCCAGGUGAUUCUUAGGCACCCAAAUUUUGAGGAACAUUGUGCCAGAUUAUGCAAUGAAUGAUCUCCAAAACCCAGAGUUAAAAAUAGUUGCAUGUUGCAUUUCCAUCCUGGGUCAGCAGGGGACCCUGUUCCUCCCAGUCUUUCUGUGGCCCAGAUGUAGCCACUUAAACACUCUUUCCUGUUAUGAGAAACAUGAAAAAGCUCUGGAGAUUCUUGCAAGGAGACACCCAAUUAGGAAGUGACACAUCAUUCCUGUUCAUAAUCAGCUGGCAAGCACUGGGCCAUGGCUAUGUUGAAUCCCAUAGGACCCAGGAAGAACAGCCUUUCCAUGUGUUCAGAGGGAGGUACAACUGAUAAGCAGGAAAAGCUGGCUGGCUGGAAGUGACAUCAUGAGAGCUGAGACUUGAUAGAUGAGCAGUAGCGAGCCCUGAGAAAAACAUUCCAGAGGUAGAUAACAGCCAGUAUAAAGGCCAUGAAUCAAAAAUAUCCUUUGCCAUGUUAGGAUUGAGAAAAAUGAAGCUAAGUAAAGCAAGUUUAUUUUGAUUCCAAGUGUAACACUACAUUAAUGAUAUCAUGUUUUUCAUAAUCACAUUUACUUGAUUUUGUAUACAUGUUUAAAAUAUUAAAAAUGUAUAUAAGGAAAGAACAAAAGAGUAAGUGCUCUUUGCUAAUAUCCAGAG
rnacentral:lncRNA from 1 species